rnacentral:rRNA from 1 species
AUUGAACGCUGGCGGCGGGCCUAACACAUGCAAGUCGAACGAGUGGCGGACGGGUGAGUAAUGUCUGGGAAACUGCCUGAUGGAGGGGAAUAACUACUGGAAACGGUAGAUAAUACCGAAUAACAUCGGAUGUGCCCAGAUGGGAUUAGCUAGUAGGUGGGGUAACGGCUCACCUAGGCGCAGAUACCUAGCUGGUCAGAGAGGAUGACCAGCCACACGUGAACUGAGACACGGUCCAGACUCCGACGGGAGGCAGCAGUGGGGAAUAUUGCGCAAUGGGCGCAAGCCGGAUGUAGCCAAGCCGCGUGAAUGUAGAAGGCCUUCGGGGUGUAAAGUACUUUCAGCGGGGAAGCGUUACCCGCAGAAGAAGCACCGGCUAACUCCGUGCCAGCAGCCGCGGUAAUUC